UUCCGAAUGGUGGAAUGGGCAGACACACCGGGUUUAAAACCCGAUGCCAUUAAGUUGGCGUUCCAGUUCGAUCCUGGAUUCGGAAA
rnacentral:tRNA from 1 species